rnacentral:rRNA from 1 species
GACGAACGCUGGCGGCGUGCUUAACACAUGCAAGUCGAACGGUGAAGCCCUUCGGGGUGGAUCAGUGGCGAACGGGUGAGUAACACGUGAGCAACCUGCCCCUGGCUCUGGGACAACCACUGGAAACGGUGGCUAAUACCGGAUACGACCUGCCUCGGCAUCGAGUGUGGGUGGAAAGUUUUUCGGCUGGGGAUGGGCUCGCGGCCUAUCAGCUUGUUGGUGGGGUAAUGGCCUACCAAGGCGACGACGGGUAGCCGGCCUGAGAGGGCGACCGGCCACACUGGGACUGAGACACGGCCCAGACUCCUACGGGAGGCAGCAGUGGGGAAUAUUGCACAAUGGGCGAAAGCCUGAUGCAGCGACGCCGCGUGAGGGAUGACGGCCUUCGGGUUGUAAACCUCUUUCAGCUCCGAAGAAGCGAAAGUGACGGUAGGAGCAGAAGAAGCACCGGCUAACUACGUGCCAGCAGCCGCGGUAAUACGUAGGGUGCAAGCGUUGUCCGGAAUUAUUGGGCGUAAAGAGCUCGUAGGCGGUGUGUCGCGUCUGCUGUGAAAACUCAGGGCUCAACUCUGAGCUUGCAGUGGGUACGGGCACACUAGAGUGCUGUAGGGGAGACUGGAAUUCCUGGUGUAGCGGUGAAAUGCGCAGAUAUCAGGAGGAACACCGGUGGCGAAGGCGGGUCUCUGGGCAGUUACUGACGCUGAGGAGCGAAAGCAUGGGGAGCGAACAGGAUUAGAUACCCUGGUAGUCCAUGCCGUAAACGUUGGGCGCUAGGUGUGGGGUCCAUUCCACGGAUUCCGUGCCGCAGCUAACGCAUUAAGCGCCCCGCCUGGGGAGUACGGCCGCAAGGCUA